rnacentral:rRNA from 1 species
UGCGGAAGGAUCAUUACCGAAUUGUCAACAAGAGUUGUUGCUGGUUCCUGUAUGGGGGCACGUGCACGCUCUGUUUACACAUCCACUCACACCUGUGCACCCUCUGUAGUUCUAUGGCCUGGGUGGGCUCUGUUCCCCCUGCUGUGGUUCUACGUCUUUACACACACUACAACAAAGUCUCAAGGAAUGUGCAUCGCGUUUAACGCAAUGAAAUACAACUUUCAGCAACGGAUCUCUUGGCUCUCGCAUCGAUGAAGAACGCAGCGAAAUGCGAUAAGUAAUGUGAAUUGCAGAAUUCAGUGAAUCAUCGAAUCUUUGAACGCACCUUGCGCCCUUUGGCUAUUCCGAAGGGCAUGCCUGUUUGAGUAUCAUGAACAUCUCAACUCUCAUGGCUUGCCAUGAUGAGCUUGGACUUUGGGGGUCUUGUUGGCCUGUGAGCCAGCUCCUCUUAAAUAAAUUAGCUUGCCGGUGUUUGGUGGCGUCACAGGUGUGAUAACUAUCUACGCUUGUGGUUUCCCACCAGGUAACCUUCAGCAAUGGAGGUUCACUGGAGCUUAUAGAUGUCUCUCCUUUGCGAAGACACGUUUUGACCAUUUGAUCUCAAAUCAGGUAGGACUACCCGCUGAACUUAAGCAUAUCAAUAAGCGGAGGAAAAGAAACUAACAAGGAUUCCCCUAGUAACUGCGAGUGAAGCGGGAAGAGCUCAAAUUUAAAAUCUGGCUGCCUCUGGCCGUCC